CAUUGGAAAGGUAAAAAAACGUAACAAGGUCUCCGUUGGUGAACCAGCGGAGGGAUCAUU
rnacentral:rRNA from 1 species